rnacentral:rRNA from 1 species
AGAUAUUAUCCCCUUGUAGUGUAGUUUAAUAACUAUCUACAUAAUAACUUAAUAUAAAGUAUAAUAGUUUAUAUUUUAUAAUAUGACAUUAACAAUUUUGUUUAAUAUUUGAAAAUGUUAGUAUUAGUAAUAUUAGUAUAUGUGCUAAAGGAACUCGGCAAAAAACCACUCAACUGUUUAUCAAAAACAUAGCUAUAUGAAUUAAUAUAUAGUUAUUUCUGCUCAAUGACUUAAAUAGCCGCAGUACUCUGACUGUGCAAAGGUAGCAUAAUCAGUUGGCUUUUAAUUAGAGUCUGGUAUGAACGAAAAUAUGGGUAGUAACUGUCUUAGCACAUUUUUUCGAACUUAUUAAACACGUGCAAAUGCUUGUAAUUUAACAAUAGACGAGAAGACCCUAGAAACUUGGACAAGUUUUUGUUGGGGCGACAGAAUUACACUUAACUAAUCUUAUAAUACACGACGCGAUGUUGAAAGAAUAAGUUACUCUAGGGAUAACAGCAUAAUUUUAUUAGUUUGUGACCUCGAUGUUGGACUAGGUACUAUACCCUUAAGGCAAGGAUAUAUUAUGCUCUGUUCGAGCAAAAUUACCUACAUGAUCUGAGUUCAGAC